rnacentral:rRNA from 1 species
UACGAACCGUCCAAACGUUAUUCGGAAUUACUGGGCGUAAAGCGUGCGCAGGCGGCUUUGCAAGUCGGGUGUGAAAUCCCCAGGCUUAACCUGGGAACUGCAUUCGAGACUGCAUUGCUAGAGUAUGGGAGAGGGAAGUGGAAUUUCCGGUGUAGCGGUGAAAUGCGUAGAUAUCGGAAGGAACAUCAGUGGCGAAAGCGACUUCCUGGACCAAUACUGACGCUCAUGUGCGAAACGUGGGGAGCAACAGGG